CUGAGUUAGGGUCUUCUUAGGCCCGACCUCCCAACCCUAUGUCUACCUUACCACUUGUUGCUUCGGCGGGCCCGUCCUGAAAAGGACCGCCGGAGGACCGUCACACGUCCUCUGGCCCGCGCCCGUCGAUAGCCCCAAUUUACAAACUCUGAAUAAAACAUGUAUUAUCUGAGUAUCUUUAUAAAUUAAAGCA
rnacentral:misc_RNA from 1 species